GGAGAGAUGACCGAGUAUGGCCGAAGGUGCUCGCCUGCUAAGCGAGUGUCCCGUUUAAAGCGGGACCUAGGGUUCAAAUCCCUAUCUCUCCG
rnacentral:tRNA from 1 species